rnacentral:rRNA from 1 species
AUUGAACGCUGGCGGCAUGCCUUACACAUGCAAGUCGAACGGCAGCACGGGUGCUUGCACCUGGUGGCGAGUGGCGAACGGGUGAGUAAUAUAUCGGAACGUACCUUAUUGUGGGGGAUAACGCAGCGAAAGCUGUGCUAAUACCGCACAAUCCCUAAGGGGGAAAGCGGGGGACCGUAAGGCCUCGCGCAAUUAGAGCGGCCGAUACCUGAUUAGCUAGUUGGUGAGGUAAAGGCUCACCAAGGCAACGAUCAGUAGCUGGUCUGAGAGGACGAUCAGCCACACUGGGACUGAGACACGGCCCAGACUCCUACGGGAGGCAGCAGUGGGGAAUUUUGGACAAUGGGGGCAACCCUGAUCCAGCAAUGCCGCGUGAGUGAAGAAGGCCUUCGGGUUGUAGAGCUCUUUUGUCAGGGAAGAAACAGCAGCUCUAACACAGUUUGCGAAUGACGGUACCUGAAGAAUAAGCACCGGCUAACUACGUGCCAGCAGCCGCCGUAA